rnacentral:lncRNA from 10 species
UGUCAAUAUCAAGGAGCGCAAUGUGAGAAAGACACCAUCUCCCUCAGGCACUCCAGCUUCCUGCCACAUCCCAAAGGUGUCCACGUUAGGUUAACAGGCAUGUCUACAUUGUCCCAGUCUGAGGGAGUGUGAGAGUGUGUGAGAGACUACUCCUGCAAUUGAAUGACAUCCUGUCCAGGGCUGGUGCCUGCCUUGCAUCCUAACCUUCUGGCACAGCCUCCAGCCAUCCAAGAAGCUGAACUGGAAUACAUCAGUUGGAAAAUGAAUGAAGGAAUGAAUACAAAUAAUUGUAAAAUAAAAAUGUGUACAGUCCAUGAUAAUCACACAGAUGCGCAACCAUUAACAAUGUGGGAUGAAAGCACCUGG